rfam:Nitritalea halalkaliphila LW7 Contig02, whole genome shotgun sequence.
AGUAGAGAGGCCUUCCGAUGGCGGCUUUCCGGAGCAGCCAUCAAACCACCUUACGCUGCAUCUGGCGGAAACUCCGGUGUGGUGAACGGUUAAGGAAAAACGGGGACAGCGAUCCCUGUAGGU